rnacentral:rRNA from 1 species
UACGUAGGGUGCGAGCGUUAAUCGGAAUUACUGGGCGUAAAGCGUGCGUAGGCGGUUCGUUAAGUUCGUUGUGAAAGCCCCGGGCUCAACCUGGGAAUGGCAAUGGAAACUGGCGGGCUGGAGUAUGGCAGAGGGGGGUGGAAUUCCGCGUGUAGCAGUGAAAUGCGUAGAGAUGCGGAGGUACACCGAUGGCGAAGGCAGCCCCCUGGGCCAAUACUGACGCUCAUGCACGAAAGCGUGGGGAGCAAACAGG